rnacentral:rRNA from 1 species
UGGGGGAUAUUGCACAAUGAGCGCAAGCCUGAUGCAGCGACGCCGCGUGGGGGAUGAAGGCCUUCGGGUUGUAAACUUCUUUUGCUCUGAACAAGGCGCACUUUGGGGUGUGUUGAGUGUAGGGGUUGAUUAGCGCCGGCUAACUACGUGCCAGCAGCCGCGGUAAUACGUAGGGCGCGAGCGUUGUCCGGAAUUAUUGGGCGUAAAGGGCUUGUAGGUGGCUGGUUGCGUCUGUCGUGAAAGCUCAUGGCUUAACUGUGGGUUUGCGGUGGGUACGGGCUGGCUUGAGUGCAGUAGGGGAGGCUGGAAUUCCUGGUGUAGCGGUGGAAUGCGCAGAUAUCAGGAGGAAUACCGGUGGCGAAGGCGGGUCUCUGGGCUGUUACUGACACUGAGGAGCGAAAGCAUGGGGAGCGAACAGG